UCUGUCGGAAUGGUAAUCCUCUUUUAUAAUGGGGUUCAAUCUCUUUACUAGGAUCUCCUUUGUAAAUUUAAGUAUUGAAUCUGUUUGUUGGCGAAUUUUGCCAGGGCCAAAUCAAGACCCGUGCUCUGUGCAGGUCAGAACGUCUUGCAAAGUACAACCCGGUAAAACAUUGACUUUGUGAAGGCGUCAAUUAUCUCAAUCAAAUUAUGAGCCAUUCUGAUCUAAUGGUCCUUUAUUAACUCUAGCUUUGAAGCAGAACUUGGAUCAGAGGCUGUAUGUGCAGGAGCAAGCUUCUGAGCACCUGUUGAGCCCUAUUAGAUUCGAUCAAUUCCGAGGCUGAAGACCAGCAGUAUGGAGCCUCACUUUAGGCAAAUAAAUGUCUACCGGCCUGCUUCUGAAUAACCACAAAAGUUUUGGAAUCAUAUUUAGCGAGUGCUGAACUAAGAAACGGUUUACAGGCGGAACAUCGAUCUUUCUAUUAGUGAAAUUUCAAUCUUGUGAAUCUAUUGUUAAUGAUUUCAUAGUUGCAAGUUAGUGUUUGUCUGUCUUCUGUAAUAUUAGAAGACAUUUGUUUUUUAUUUUGUCUAAGAUUUUAUGGGUGCGGGUGCAGGUGAGGUGCGAUCAAAUCGAUUCUGUAUAUCGUUAUUUUAUUACAUAUUAAGGGUGGAUAGUCUACUUCGAUAAAUUUGGUAUGGAAGAAAGAGCGCUAAACUAUAUCAAAUCAGGCUAUUAGAUCCUAUCCGUGAUAAUCAGACACCUAUUUCUACAUGGGCCUAUCCUCCACUACUCAACUUUGCUCCGUUCGCUACCUCCUUUCUUAAUUUGUUUUAAUUUGAUUUCUUUUUAUUUUUUGUCCCAAG
rnacentral:lncRNA from 1 species